UGUGUGAAUACAAAACAGUGUCUUUGGUAGUUCCAACCGCUUCAUAAUUGAGACAACAUUUACUUAACCUAUGACCCAUAAUACAUCAAUAUGCACGGGCUUAACAGAUUAAGGCCAUGUCAGUUACAAUUAAUAAUAAUAAGUCUUGACCCAUAUCAAACUAAAACAUAAACAUAAAACACAUUAUGUUUGCAGACCAUCUUCAAAGAGCAUGAUGGGUUGAACAAUUAGUUUUCAACAUAUUUUUACUUGCUAGUGCUCAUGCAUGUUCUGUUUUAAAAGAAAUUUAGGGUUUCUCAAUUUUUUAACAACUCCUCUAAGAUUUUCUAGGAUAAAUAAGCAUAACAUGUACCUACAGGAUUUGAACCCUCAACUUUUUAGUUGUAUAGUACACAACUUAACCACAACGAUGUCCCCUCCGAGACAUUCAGUUUGAUAGGACAUUCAAAUCUCAUGGGAUAUAAAACUUAGUUUGGGCCGCCACAUGUUUUAGCAAUAAUUUAUUUGAUCUUGCAAACUUGAUUUAUCUCGCGUCGGACGCAACUAUUGGAUGAAACAAUUUAUCUUGCAACACCUGUAUCGGAUUUGCAAUUGGGGUAUAUGAUGAAGAAGCAUUUGAUGCAAGAGCAUAUGAUUUAGCUGCAAUCAAGUAUUGGGGAACGUCUACUUUCACUAAUUUCCGGUGACUGAAUAUGAAAAAGAACCGGAGAGGAUGGAUAACACAACACAACCCAACC